rnacentral:rRNA from 1 species
AUGAGCUGUCUGUUAUCCGAAACGAUCGUAUCCGUCAAUAAGAUCAAGCUUUUUGUCGGCGACAGGAACAAUAACCCACAUUCAGAUGCAGAGAUUUGUCCCCUGAGAUUAAAUAAAAAGAGGAAAUGGAGAAUUAGCGCGGUUGCAUGGGAGGAGGGGCACUGCAUGCUUGCCUCCUCUAUAAAAGCCCAGCCCCCGGCCUUCCCAGUUCCAUACCACAGCAAGCUCCAGCCAGGGAUCUGA